CGGGGGGGGCAAGCGUUGUUCGGAAUUACUGGGCGUAAAGGGCUUGUAGGCGGCCAACUAAGUCAGACGUGAAAUCCCUCGGCUUAACCGGGGAACGGCGUCUGAUACUGGAUGGCUUGAAUCCGGGAGAGGGAUGCGGAAUUCCAGGUGUAGCGGUGAAAUGCGUAGAUAUCUGGAGGAACACCGGUGGCGAAGGCGGCAUCCUGGACCGGCAUUGACGCUGCAGAGCGAAAGCCAGGGGAGCAAACGGGAUUAGAUACCCCGGUAGUCCUGGCCCUAAACGAUGAAUGCUUGGUGUGGCGGGUAUCGAUCCCUGCCGUGCCGAAGCUAACGCAUUAAGCAUUCCGCCUGGGGAGUACGGUCGCAAGGCUG
rnacentral:rRNA from 1 species